CAUCUAAAUGGGAUCACAAGAGGUGUUAUAAGAGCAGUCAAGGAGAUGAUGGAGGAGCGGUUGGAGAAAGAAGUGUUCAAGCUGGAGUUAUUUCCUGGUAAAUGAUGAUGAUAGUGGUUGACAAGAACUUUCUCUGAACAACAAUUCAUGAGCCAAGGGAGAAUAGUGCUUAAAAGAUUUGAUGUUUCACCUAUUUAAAUAUAGUAUUCGCUAGUAUCUUGCUCUUUUUAGAACUUGUUCUUUGAAUUGAAUAUAUUUGAGUAGCUUGAUAUUUGGAGAAUUGUAUGAAUUAAGACAUUCUGUAACAGGUUUUUUUUAUUAUAUAUGCAAGUAGAAUUAAUUUGAAUA